UUACGGCCAUAUCACGUUGAAACACCGGUUCCCGUACGAUCACUGAACUUAAGCAACGUCGAACCUGACAAGUAGCUAGAUGGGUGACCGCUUGGGAAUAUCAGGCGCU